GUGGGGAAUAUUGGACAAUGGGCGAAAGCCUGAUCCAGCCAUGCCGCGUGUGUGAAGAAGGUCUUCGGAUUGUAAAGCACUUUAAGUUGGGAGGAAGGGCAGUAAGUUAAUACCUUGCUGUUUUGACGUUACCGACAGAAUAAGCACCGGCUAACUUCGUGCCAGCAGCCGCGGUAAUACGAAGGGUGCAAGCGUUAAUCGGAAUUACUGGGCGUAAAGCGCGCGUCGGUGGUUUUGUAAGUUGGAGGUGAAAUCCCCGGGCUCAACCUGGGAACUGCCUCCAAAACUGCAUGACUAGAGUACGGUAGAGGGUAGUGGAAUUUCCUGUGUAGCGGUGAAAUGCGUAGAUAUAGGAAGGAACACCAGUGGCGAAGGCGACUACCUGGACUGAUACUGACACUGAGGUGCGAAAGCGUGGGGAGCAAACAGGAUUAGAUACCCGUGUAGUCC
rnacentral:rRNA from 1 species